GAUGAACGCUAGCGGGAGGCCUAACACAUGCAAGCCGAGCGGUAUUGUUUCUUCGGAAAUGAGAGAGCGGCGUACGGGUGCGGAACACGUGUGCAACCUGCCUUUAUCUAGAGGAUAGCCUUUCGAAAGGAAGAUUAAUACUCUAUAAUAUAUUAAUUGGCAUCAAUUGAUAUUGAAAACUCCGGUGGAUAGAGAUGGGCACGCGCAAGAUUAGCUAGUUGGUGAGGUAACGGCUUACCAAGGCAAUGAUCUUUAGGGGGCCUGAGAGGGUGAUCCCCCACACUGGUACUGAGACACGGACCAGACUCCUACGGGAGGCAGCAGUGAGGAAUAUUGGUCAAUGGGUGCAAGCCUGAACCAGCCAUCCCGCGUGAAGGAUUAAGGUCCUAUGGAUUGUAAACUUCUUUUGUAUAGGGAUAAACCUACCCUCGUGAGGGUAGCUGAAGGUACUAUACGAAUAAGCACCGGCUAACUCCGUGCCAGCCGCCGCGGUAAGAC
rnacentral:rRNA from 1 species